CGACUCUGAUUAAAUAAAUAAUGUCAAUUUAAUUGGAAAAACUCCCCUAUCCCUGGGGAAAAAGGAGGUGUGACAGGGGGUAGUUGAUAAUUAACUGCAUUCUUGUUUUUCUUACAAGUCUCUGUGAAUCUGCAGAUAAUUGAAGGUCUGAAGGAAGUCUUGAUUGGAAUGAAGCCUGGAGGAUCUCCAGGAAAACUUAUUUGCCAUUUUUCAGAAUAUACAGUUCUAUUUGUUUGAGCUGUAAGGCCUGUACUGCAGGAAAAAGAAGAGCGUUGAUCCCGCCUUCGCUAGGAUACAUCAAUGAAAACUUAAAACCAGUACCUGAAGACUUUGGACCAAGGCGUAGCCUUAUGUCUCAUGUGAAGGAGCCUCUAAUUUUUGAAGUGCAGCUGUUGAAAGUUUUAUGAGUAUCAUACUUAUUGUUGGUGCUUAACUAUACUAUGUAAGUUUAUUAACUUCCAUUACUUUGAUCUCUUGAACAAUGUACUGAAUUUUUGCCAAGAUAUGCUAAAACUGUCUGCUGCAGGAUGUUCCAAAACUGGUUAUAUUGUUUUUAUUUCUAGUUUAAGGGAACUUAUUCUUUAGACACAAUUUCUACUUGGUUACUGUAAUGACUAGUACAUAUUGUUUAGUACCAUUAGUAGUAAUUUCACAUACGAGUUUAUUUA